rnacentral:rRNA from 1 species
UACGUAGGGGGCUAGCGUUGUCCGGAAUCAUUGGGCGUAAAGAGCGUGUAGGCGGCCCGGUAAGUCCGCUGUGAAAGUCGGGGGCUCAACCCUCGAAUGCCGGUGGAUACUGUCGGGCUAGAGUGCGGAAGAGGCGACUGGAAUUCCUGGUGUAGCGGUGGAAUGCGCAGAUAUCAGGAGGAACACCGGUGGCGAAGGCGGGUCUCUGGGCCGUAACUGACGCUGAGGAGCGAAAGCAUGGGGAGCGAACAGG